GGAUGUGAUCAUACCCCAGCACUAAAGCACCGGAUCCCAUCAGAACUCCGAAGUUAAGCGUGCUUGGGCGAGAGUAGUACUAGGAUGGGUGACCUCCUGGGAAGUCCCCGUGUUGCAUUCC
rnacentral:rRNA from 1 species